rnacentral:rRNA from 1 species
GAUGAACGCUGGCGGCGUGCCUAAUACAUGCCAGUCGAGCGAACGGACGAGAAGCUUGCUUCGCUGAUGUUAGCGGCGGACGGGUGAGUAACACGUGGAUAACCUGCCUAUAAGACUGGGAUAACUUCGGGAAACCGGAGCUAAUACCGGAUAAUAUUUUGAACCGCAUGGUUCAAAAGUGAAAGACGGUCCUGCUGUCACUUGUAGAUGGUUCCUCGCUGGAUUAGCUAGUUGGUAAGGUAACGGCUUACCAAGGCUACGAUGCAUAGCCGAUCUGAGAGGAUGAUCGGCCACACUGGAACUGAGACACGGUCCAGACUCCUACGGGAGGCAGCAGUAGGGAAUCUUCCGCAAUGGGCGAAAGCCUGACGGAGCAACGCCGCGUGAGUGAUGAAGGUCUUCGGAUCGUAAAACUCUGUUAUUAGGGAAGAACAUAUGUGUAAGUAACUGUGCACAUCCUGACGGUACCUAAUCAGAAAGCCACGGCUAACUACGUG